UACGUAGGGGGCAAGCGUUGUCCGGAUUUACUGGGCGUAAAGAGCGUGUAGGCGGCCAGGCAGGUCUGUUGUGAAAACUGGAGGCUUAACCUCCAGACGUCGACAGAAACCGUCUGGCUAGAGUCCGGAAGAGGAGAGUGGAAUUCCUGGUGUAGCGGUGAAAUGCGCAGAUAUCAGGAAGAACACCAACUAGCGAAGGCAGCUCUCUGGACGGUACUGACGCUGAGACGCGAAAGCGUGGGGAGCGAACAGG
rnacentral:rRNA from 1 species